rnacentral:piRNA from 1 species
UAACGCUGUUGCAGGAAAUC